UACGAAGGGGGCUAGCGUUGCUCGGAAUCACUGGGCGUAAAGGGCGCGUAGGCGGCCAUUCAAGUCAGAGGUGAAAGCCCAAGGCUCAACCUUGGAAUUGCCUUUGAUACUGUUUGGCUUGAGACCGGAAGAGGUAAGUGGAACUGCGAGUGUAGAGGUGAAAUUCGUAGAUAUUCGGAAGAACACCAGUGGCGAAGGCGGCUCACUGGACCGGCAUUGACGCUGAGGUGCGAAAGCGUGGGGAGCAAACAGG
rnacentral:rRNA from 1 species